UUGAUUGAAGUCAAAAUAGAGACCUAUCACUGUUAAUGAUAAAAUUGGGUUUAUACCCCCCAAUCAAA
rnacentral:tRNA from 1 species